GUUUGGCUGAAGAAAGAGAGUAGGUUACCAUAUGAGGAGAGGGUUACUGACUUUAACUUAAAACAUGGCAGAUUCUCACUCUGAGAGUUAUGAAGAGUUGAUUACUCCACUGAAAGAUGAACUGAGGAAAAUUCUCAGGAACAGUAAGUCAGUAAAAGAAGGACCCACUACGAAAUUUAUAUUAAACACAACAGUUGUAACCGAAGACAAAUUACUGAGAAA